rnacentral:rRNA from 1 species
UACGUAGGGUGCGAGCGUUAAUCGGAAUUACUGGGCGUAAAGCGUGCGCAGGCGGUUUUAUAAGACAGGUGUGAAAUCCCCGGGCUCAACCUGGGAAUGGCAUUUGUGACUGUAAGACUAGAGUACGGUAGAGGGGGAUGGAAUUCCGCGUGUAGCAGUGAAAUGCGUAGAGAUCGGGAGGAACAUCUAUGGCGAAGGCAGCCAUCUGGACCAGUACUGACGCUGAGGCACGAAAGCGUGGGGAGCAAACAGG